CGAGACAAGACUUCCUCUGUCAAGGCAUGACUCAUGCAAAUGUCAGUGGAUUUAUGUUAGGUCUUUUAAGCUGAAAUUCUCAAGGUGCAUCUUUCAGCCAAGCUACUAAUACAGUUUGGUACUUUCCUAGCUGUUGCAAUUAUUCGUCCUGAUUGUUCAUUAGCAAAACCCUAGGUCUCCUGAAUUAUUCAUAUCUCAAGAACAACCACAAAAAUGUAUUCUGAUCGGAGACAAGGGUCUUGGCCCCGCCAAGAAUGAAGUAUUGGCCCUGUCCUAGUCCCAUGCAAAUGAGAGUCAUGCAGACCAUUGUUUUUUAAUGUACUGAUACUACACGUCACUAGAAUCCACAUAUAUAAAUACCUUCCAGUUAUCCAGAUCAUCUGGAAACGAGGCGUCAAGGAAAUCUCAACCAUCUUGAACAUUCCGUUUUUCCUGGUGUAUAAGAUAGAAUCUAAAGAUGAAAGUGGUAUUUCUGAUCACUUUCCUUUUGGUCACGGCUCACUGCACACCAGUACAAGAAUUUUAUCCUGGAAUUCACCAGGAUUACUUCUUAAACUGGCAGAGGAUACAUCACAGAAUGAGGCCAUAUCAACGAUUCCUGUAUCACACGGUUUAGGAGUAUACCUUAGCUCUGCUGCUACCCACGGCUCACACUCAAGCGUAACAACCUCAGUGAUGUACACUGUGGUCAUACCCAUGCUGAACCCCUUCAUCUACAGUCUGAGAAAUAAAGACUUAAAGAGAGGUCUGAAAAUACCCUUUGGAAAGGUGACUCUAAAAGGGCCUAUUUAUCCUAGGACUUAUGAAGCAUCCUGGGUAGCAGAGCGCAACACAAGAGCCAAAUGUUGCCACUCUUCAAUGAGACUAUGAACAUAGAACAUGCCUCUUUCAUUUUUUGGUGUGUGUGUGGGGGGGGGUGGAAUUCUAUUUUGAUUUCAAAUUCUCUAUACAAUGUAUGUAACUCUAUUUUAUGUUUUGUAAUAUCUCUCAUAACCAAGAUUUUUCCUUUUUUCAUUUUUCAACUCUUAUCAUUGUAUUCCCAAACUUGUUUGUGAAAUAUUUGGAAAUUCCCACUUAUCCCAAGGGACUGCAUGGAUCCCUUCAAGGAUAAUUUCUUCUCAAAUAAAAUAGAUCAUAUGGAGUAAAAAAUAAAUAAAUAAAUAAAUAAAUAAAAUC
rnacentral:lncRNA from 1 species